rnacentral:rRNA from 1 species
UACGUAGGGGGCGAGCGUUGUCCGGAUUUAUUGGGCGUAAAGAGCGUGUAGGCGGCCAGGUAGGUCUGCUGUGAAAACUCGAGGCUCAACCUCGAGCCGUCGGCGGAAACCAUCUGGCUAGAGACCGGAAGAGGAGAGUGGAAUUCCCGGUGUAGCGGUGAAAUGCGCAGAUAUCAGGAGGAACACCUAUUGCGAAGGCAGCUCGCUGGGACGUAACUGACGCUGAGACGCGAAAGCGUGGGGAGCGAACAGG